GACGAACGCUGGCGGCGUGCUUAACACAUGCAAGUCGAACGGAAAGGCCCUGCUUUUGUGGGGUGCUCGAGUGGCGAACGGGUGAGUAACACGUGAGUAACCUGCCCUUUACUUUGGGAUAACUUCAGGAAACUGGGGCUAAUACCGGAUAGGAGCUCCUGCUGCAUGGUGGGGGUUGGUAAGUUUCGGCGGUUGGGUAUGGACUCGCGGCUUAUCAGCUUGUUGGUGGGGUAGUGGCUUACCAAGGCUUUGACGGGUAGCCGGCCUGAGAGGGUGACCGGCAACAUUGGGACUGAGAUACGGCCCAGAGUCCUACGGGAGGCAGCAGUGGGGAAUAUUGCACAAUGGGCGGAAGCCUGAUGAAGAAACGCCGCGUGCGGGAUGACGGCCUUCGGGUUGUAAACCGAUUUCGCAUGUGACGAAGAGUGAGUGACGGUAAUGGGUAAAGAAGCACCGGCUAACUACGUG
rnacentral:rRNA from 1 species